GCCAUCUAGCUUAGUCGGUAGAGUGCAAGGCUCUUGACUUGUGGUUGUGGGUUUGAACCCUGCGGUGGGCG
rnacentral:tRNA from 1 species